GGUGCUGAGGGGCAACUCUAGGACUAGCCUAAUGGGUGUGACGACCCUACCCCAAUGCACUUGUAAAUAAUUGAGCCAGUCA
rfam:Rio Bravo virus strain M64, complete genome